rnacentral:rRNA from 1 species
GAUGAACGCUAGCGGCAGGCCUAAUACAUGCAAGCCGAACGGCAAGUUUGAUAGCAAUAUUGGACCUAGAGUGGCGCAAGGGCGCGUAACACGUAUGCAACCUGCCCGCGACAGGAGGAUAGCUCCCCGAAAGGGGAAUUAACCCUCCAUAACACCAUGAGAAGGCAUCUGAUUAUGGUUAAACCGCAAGGGGUCGCGGAUGGGCAUGCGGUUGAUUAGCUAGUUGGCGGGGUAAAGGCCCACCAAGGCGGUGAUCAAUAGGGGUUCUGAGAGGAAGGUCCCCGACACUGGCACUGAGAUACGGGCCCGACGCGUACGAGAAGCAGCAGUAGGGAAUAAUGGGCAGUGGGUGCGAGACUGAACCAGCCAUGCCGCGUGCAGGAAGAAGGCCUUCUGGGUCGUAAACUGCUUUUGCCAGUGGAUAAAAUACCCGUGCGCGGGGAAUUGAAGGUAACAGGGGAAUAAGCCACGGCUAACUACGUG